rnacentral:lncRNA from 1 species
CGGCGGAGCUCCUGCCGCCGCCGCAGCCGCUGCCGCCGCAGCGAAGAGGCCAUGUUGUGUGGUGUGUGGGGCGGGGGGAGGAGGAGGAGGGAGUAAAGCCUAGAGAGGAGACGGGAGAGACACCACACACACGGCACAAGAUGGCCGGAGAGGCAGCAGCACCUCGAGCUGUCAGGCGUUCCGCUGCGGCCGCGGGGCCCACCAGGCGGCGGGGAGCUACGCCCGGACGGCCCGCAGGCCCGUGGGAGUGGGGCGGCCGCGGCUGAGGCGAGGCGGGCUGCGCGCGUCGGCGUCAGAGCCCGCGGCAGAGGCUCCCAGGGCGGCCGGGCCCACGACGCCGAAAGCGCCGCUGCGGUUGCCGCCUCGGAGGCUUCCCCGGGCCCCGGCGGCUGGACCCGGCGCGGGCGGGAGGCUCGGGCGGGCGGUCCGGCCCGGGACUCGGACUUGGGCGACCAGGAGGUGCCGGCUGCCGCGCUCGGACCCGGUGACUUAGAGAUUAAAAUUAAUUUGGUUGCUGAUGGUUCUGAACAAAUAGAGUUCUUUUAUUUGAGGUAUGCCAUUUUGAAGACUGAGACGUUGGAGUUUUAUCCUUGA